rnacentral:rRNA from 1 species
GUCUUUUAGAAUAUAAUUUAAAGUCUAACCUGCCCACUGAAUUUAUUUGAAGGGCCGCGGUAUUUUGACUGUGCAAAGGUAGCAUAAUCAUUAGUCUUUUAAUUGGAGGCUUGUAUGAAUGGUUGGAUGAAACAUUAACUGUCUCAAUUUAAUAAAAAUAGAAUUUAAUUUUUAAGUUAAAAAGCUUAAAUAUAAUUAGAGGACGAGAAGACCCUAUAGAUCUUUAUAUUUAAUUAUUUAUUAUUAAUAUAGAAUAUUAAGUUAUAUUAAUUAAUUAAUUAUUUUAUUGGGGUGAUAAAUAAAUUUGAUAAACUUUAUUUUAUAUAAACAUUUAUUUAUGAAUAUUUGAUCCAUUAUUAGUGAUUAAAAGAUUAAGUUACCUUAGGGAUAACAGCGUAAUUUUUUUAGAGAGUUCUUAUCGAUAAAAAAGUUUGCGACCUCGAUGUUGAAUUAAAGGUUAAUUUUAGGUGCAGAAGUUUAAAGUUUUGGUCUGUUCGACCAUUAAAUC